UUCAGCAGUUUCCUGGGCGUCCGUCCCCAGGCGUCGGGUUGCCGCGGAGAUUCAGCGCGGCGAAUCAGAUGGAGAACAGCAGGGGGCGCCUGGUUUGUUCAUCUUGUUAACGUGAGGGAACGCCGCUUGGAGGAACGAGGACCGGCUUCGCCUCUGCUGACGCCCUGUGCUGUCAGGCUGGCUCCUCCCCAGGAGCUACUGAAAGGAAGCCCCCUGUGUUCUUAGAAGGGUACUGACCACUUUCAAUAGGAAUCCUAGAGCUUGGCAGAUGAUGAAACUGUGACUUGGAUAAGGUGGAGAGCACCUCACUGAUAGAGGAACGGGAGAAAGAAUUCGCUGGGGAAGGAAGGAAACUCAGUCAUCCAUUCAACAUCUGGUCAGUGUUGAGAUUGCCUGGCCUGCUGGCUGCUGCAAGGUCAGAGUCUGCAAAGGGCGGAUCCAGCUGAUCACAUGUCGAGAUCGGUGUCCUCCCGUCCUGUGAGUCAGGGCAGUCUUUCCGUGGCAGUGAGGACAAAGCCUGCAUGCUAAAUAUAGAGCCGCACAAAGAUAAGAGGACGCUGAGACCCCAGUAGCAUGGAAUGUGAUACCAGCUGGGGCUGCCUACUUCUACUUCUGCCUAAUGUGAUAAAAAUACCUGUCUCUUUGGUGACGUGGCUGUAGUCUGAUUUUUGUUUCAAGUUCCCCAAAAUGAUCUUAGGUGAUAUCGCUCUGAUUUUAUGUUCCCUAUUUUGCCCUUUUCUCACCCCAUGUGUGCUGUGUGUCCCAGACCUUCUCUUUAAAUCUAAAAGACCUACUUUCCCAGUUCCUGGGAAGAUUGUCAACCGAGAGCUCCUAGCUCUGGGACUUCUUGGGGCACUGACUCAUGUGAAGAGGGCUAUCUUGUUCAGACUAACACUGGCGUUCUGGAGGAAAUGUAUGUAAUCGCCAAGAGGCACUGUCUCCUCCAAAAGAGAUAAACAUGAAAGACUGACUCAGUUUCAAAGCCCUAUGAAAGACUGAGUGAGACCUUGGCUAAGACUGUGCCAGAGCCACAACUACUCUCUUCCCAAGCCUGCUUUCCUUCCCUUCCUUUUCCUUUGUUUUCAAGGGUAUCUGUCUCAAAGGUGCUCCGAACAAAGCUUCCCUUCUAAAGGAGUCCAGUGUCACGAGUUGGUGCCAGUGAGGUCCGAGAAACAGACACUGAAGAGGGGAUCUGCACCUGGGUCACCAGGGUGGCAGUGGCAGUCAGUGAGGUCAGUGAGGUCAGUGACCAGUGCUGGUCAGUGAGGCACAGCCACCCCAUGGCCACAUCCCAGGCGGAGCCACCCAGAGGCUGUGGUCGGACAGAGCAGCAACACUGAACAUCAGCCCAGUACAAAACAUUGUGAAGAUUAGAGACUGAAUAGUGACACAAUUCAGUGGGGGCUGUGAAGUAAUCUAGGUCUACUGUAACUUAGGAGUUGUGUUCUGUUAAUAUCCACUGUAGAAGAUGGACUUUCAGCAGAGGCCCUCUCUGUCCACUUAUAUUACUCCAGGAAAACAUCUUCCAAGCAAAAGGUAGAGAGAGUCAAGUUCUGCUUUCUCAAAGGACAAAAAGCAAAAAAGAAUCUACAGGUACUUCUUAGAACACAGGAGACAUCAUAGGCUUUUUGCAGGUGCCAUUAAACUGAGCCCAUACACGAGUAGGAGGCCCUUAACCCAGCAUGCGCAGUGUCCUGUGGAGCAGCCGGAAGGAGAGACAGAGUGAAGCUGAGGGAGAGAUGGAGGCAUUUAAGGUCAAGUGUGAUUCACUCCUAAUCACAGAGCUUCAACCUUCCAAAGCUCCAAAGGCAUAGCAGGAAUCCAAUGCUUGGUCAAACAAAAGGAGAGGAAAUGUCCAUUCCUGAGGAUCUCCCUCCUCUGUUAAGCACUCAGGAGAUGAUAAGGGACAUUUGACAGGAAGCCAUACUAUCAUUGUCUUGCAAAGACGGGACAUCUUAGUCUCAAUGUGGAACAGGACAAGAUCAGCAAGUGAGAUAAGUGUGACGUUGAAGGAUACCAAAGGGAAACAUCUCCUGCAAUACUCCUGUGUUUCCCAGGGUUUCCAGCCGGGAAAAAAGACCCCCGAGGAAGAAAACUGACGACCGAGCUCAGAUUCAAGUGGGUAGCUCUGCUGAUCCCAGCUGGAGGUUCCAGUAGUCAAUAACUGAAAACACUUUCAUAAUUUUACAUUAUUUUCAGCAGUCAUAUAUAGAUACACAUGUAUACACAUGUAGGCUAAAUAACAUGUAACUAGAAUACUGUGAAGCUAUAUACUUGAUAAAAUUUGAAUUAAAUAUGAACAGCAGGUCUAUUCAUAAUUGCUGAAAACUGGAAAGAAUCCAGAUAUAUUCCAGCUAGAGAUAAGCAGAGUGUGGUAAUCCAAGUAGUGGAAUACUACACAGCCAUACAAAGAGACAAAAGCACAUCCCUGUCAUCCCAGCACUUAGGAAAUUUGAGGUAGGAGGAUUACAAGUUUGAGUCCCAGCUGGGCAACUCCAAAAUGGAUGAUAGCUCUUGGCAAGCAGGAAGAAAAUGUUCAAAUGGG